rnacentral:lncRNA from 1 species
AUGGACAGCUUUCCUGAAGAUUACCUUCUUUUACAGACUGGUAAAUCCCUUCAGCGCAACAGCAGGCUGCUGUGCCUGCCCCCAGAGUUUGAGGAUUCCAGUCAGCUUAUCCGGGUAGGAGGUCGUCUGCGACGUAGCAGAGCUCUCAGUCCAGAGGUGGUGCACCCCAUUGUCUUGGACCCCAAGCACCAGAGUUGCCAGCUAUUGAUCAAGGACUAUGAUGACAGACUGCAUCAUCCUGGGCCUGAAAGAGUCUAUGCAGAGCUACGUAGGAAGGUGUGGAUCCUCAGAGGCCGUGAGGCCAUAAAGAAACACCAACGCCAAUGCUUAGAAUGCUGUAUGCUUAAAGCCAAACUUGCCAGCCAGAAAAUGGUAGACCUGCCUCCAGCCCGACUGCAGUUAUUUAAACUGGCGUUUCACUCCACAGGAAUGGACUUCUUUGGCCCCCUCACCAUCAAGAUUGGGCGUCGUACUGAGAAACGAUGGGGCUUGAUAUUCAAGUGCCUCACCACCAGAGCCGUUCAUUUGGAGGUGCUCACGUCCAUUGACAGUGAUACGUUCCUUAUGGCCUUGAGAAGGUUUAUUGCCUGUCGUGGCACUCCAUUCGAACUGUAUUUGGACCAUGGCACCAACUUCCACGGGGGACAGAAGGAACUGGAGACCAGCUUUAACCAGCUUAACCCACAGCUGCAAGACAUUUUAGCUAAAAGGCAAAUCCACUUCAACUACAAUCCCCCUGCUGCCCCGCAUUUCGGAGGAGUCUGGGAAAGGGAGAUCCGAUCCGUAGCACUACGUGCUACCCUGGGAGCAGAGACCGUUACGGAAGAAGUUCUGACCACUGUCCUUGUCGAAAUAGAAGUCAUCUUAAACUCCAAACCCCUUGGAUAUGUUUCAUCAGACCUGUCAGAUCUUGAUCCGGUGACCCCAAAUUGCCUCUUGAUGGGACGGCCAGACACCUCCCUUCCCCAAGUUGUUUACCCCGCAUCUGAGCUUUUAAGCAAGAGACGAUGGCGACAUGUGCAGGUACUGGCUGAGCGAUUCUGGUCAUGCUUUAUAAAAUACUACCUGCUCAGCCAACAGACCCGAGGGAAGUGGCAGGGUUCGGCACCAAACAUCGAAGCAGGCACUGUUGUCAUGAUAGUCGACACCCAGCUUCCCUGA